UACGAAGGGGGCUAGCGUUGUUCGGAAUUACUGGGCGUAAAGGGCGCGUAGGCGGUGCCUCAAGUCAGGCGUGAAAGCCCCGGGCUCAACCUGGGAACCGCGCUUGAGACUGGAGUACUAGAGUUCGGGAGAGGAUGGUGGAAUUCCCAGUGUAGAGGUGAAAUUCGUAGAUAUUGGGAAGAACACCGAUGGCGAAGGCAGCCAUCUGGACCGACACUGACGCUGAGGCGCGAAAGCCAAGGGAGCAAACAGG
rnacentral:rRNA from 1 species